rnacentral:rRNA from 1 species
GCGAAAGCGCGCAACUGGGCCNUAACUGACGCUGUGGUACGAAAGCUAGGGGAGCGAAUGGGAUUAGAUACCCCAGUAGUCCUAGCCCUAAACGAUGGACACUAGACGUUGGCCGUACCAACCCGGUCAGUGUCGUAGCUAACGCGUUAAGUGUCCCGCCUGGGGAGUACGCACGCAAGUGUGAAACUCAAAGGAAUUGACGGGGGCCCGCACAAGCGGUGGAGCAUGUGGUUUAAUUCGAUGCAAACCGAAGAACCUUACCAGGGCUUGACAUCCUGCGAAUCCUGCCGAAAGGUGGGAGUGCCGUAAGGAGCGCAGAGACAGGUGGUGCAUGGCUGUCGUCAGCUCGUGUCGUGAGAUGUUGGGUUAAGUCCCGCAACGAGCGCAACCCUCGUUCUCAGUUGCCAGCAUUCAGUUGGGCACUCUGGGGAGACUGCCGGUGACAAACCGGAGGAAGGUGGGGAUGACGUCAAGUCGUCAUGCCCCUUACGCCCUGGGCUACACACGUACUACAAUGGCUGGGACAAAGAGUUGCCAACUCGCGAGAGUGAGCUAAUCUCGUAAACCCAGUCUCAGUUCAGAUUGCAGGCUGCAACUCGCCUGCAUGAAGGCGGAAUCGCUAGUAAUCGCAGGUCAGCAUACUGCGGUGAAUACGUUCCCGGGCCUUGUACACACCGCCCGUCACACCAUGGGAGCUGGUCACGCCCGAAGUCGUUAUCCUAACCGUAAGGAGGGAGACGCCUAAGGCGGGGCUGGUGACUGGGGUGAAGUCGUAACAAGGUAA